rnacentral:antisense_RNA from 1 species
CUUGACGGACCCCAGCCACAGGGGCCGGUCCGCGGGGCGGUUCCCGCCGUAGGCGGCGAGCAGCGCCUGGGCCUC